UUGUGUUCAAGCCGGAGGACGUCAGAGAGAAAACCAGAUAACAUUGAUCACUGAUAAAGUUGUGUGUCUGUACAGUGAUAAUAAAGUUGUGUUUGUACAGUGAUAAUAAAGUUGUGUGUUUGUACAGUGAUAAUAAAGUUGUGUUUGUACAGUGAUAAUAAAGUUUUGUGUUUGUACAGUGAUAAUAAAGUUGUGUUUGUACAGUGUUAAUAAAGUUGUGUUUGUACAGUGAUAAUAAAGUUGUGUGUUUGUACAGUGUUAAUAAAGUUGUGUUUGUACAGUGAUAAUAAAGUUGUGUGUUUGUACAGUGAUAAUAAAGUUUUGUGUUUGUACAGUGAUAAUAAAGUUGUGUGUCUGUACAGUGUUAAUAAAGUUGUGUGUCUGUACAGUAAU